AUGAUUUUUUUUUUCUCUUUUAUAUAUAAAUAGAAGUCUGCAGGCAUCCUCUUCCACUCUUUCUCUCAAAUCAUUAGGGCAUAUGUAUGUCUGCUCACUAACAGAGGGGAGACAAAUAGGGACAUCAUAGAAGGAGUCUCCAGGUGACCUUGGACCAAGCAAAGAUUUGUUUCCAUUUUGAGGAGCAUAAAUUCUUGUGCUCGUGACUGUGCAGGAAGCAAGGAGUGAAUUUUUCACCUUGACUUCUAGACAGUACAGAAUGAAGCCUUUCUGGACGAGAGAAAGCUGAACGAAUGUGUCUACUUUGAAUCAAAACUCCCAUUUCAUUGCACUCUGAUGCAAACAUAGAGCAAAAGUCAGACAGGUUUGGCAUGCUCCUCGGCCCUGCUGUUUUUAAGUAUUUAUUUGACAUUGUUUCAGAUGGAUUUCAGUGAUUAUCAUUUAUUCACCUUCUAUUUGGCAUCUUUAUCUGAGCUUAAUAUUCAUCUGUGGAUUGAGUAAAAUGAAUAUUUCAAGCCUUAAAUUAUGGAUGUACUGCAGCACUGCUGGCAUCUCAGACUUAAAGACCUUUGUGCAGUUUUUGCAUCUCAUCUGUUUUUUGGUGUCUCCUGAAACUGUCAGGGAACUUUUGCUGGCCUGCUGGAGAGCAGUGCCUGGCUGCAGCGGGCUGCAGGGCAUAUAUGGGGAGGCUUUAGAGCCUCAGUCUCCUUGGACACCACCCCUGAGCCCUUUGCUUUCCCCCUUCAGCAGCUGUGGGCCGUGCCUCUCCUCUCCCACCUUUGUUUCUCCCUUUGUUGUGGGUUUCUCCCCAAGUGUUUUCUUGGCUGUGCUUUCUGGGUUUUAUGCUCCCUUCUCUUUCUUCUCUUCUUCUCAGCGUGCAGGGUGCUUCUCCCUGGCAGUUGCCAUAGAGAUCACAGCACUUCUCUCUGCCUCUGCGAAAGGCACUGCUAUCCCUGUGUAGCUUGGCUGGCUGAGCCAGCUGCCUCAUCCCAAAUGUGUCAUCUUUCCCUGCCCCACACCGUGUGACCUGACUGUCCUGUAGGCUGACAGGCUGCUUACCUCUGUCCUGGGAUGCAUGGCUAUGCCAUUGUAUUGCACUCCAGGCUCCCAGUAAGCAUUCCUGAUCCGUGCACAGUAGUGGAGGACAAUGAAUUGCUAAGUAGCCCCAUGGCAAGACUGCCCCUUCCCAGCUCCAUGCCCUCAAAUUUCAAUCCACCUUCUGCCUUCCACCUGCUGGGUACCGUGGUGCUCCUCAUGUGCAAAGAUCAGAGCAGCAGGAGUGCCAGUGCCUCCGAGUGCCAGGGCACCAUGAACCCCUGCUUGCCUGGGCUGACAUGCAGGAGAGAGGCAGAUGGACAGAGAAGGGGUAAGGGACCUCACCAUGGCCUGGCCUUUUGCUGCCUUCCCUUUGUGCCCUGGUCAUAACUUUAGGUUGCUGCAAUCUGUAGCUGACUCAGCAGUGGUGGUACAAGGUUCAGUGCUGAUGGCUGGCUGAGAGAUGAGAGGUAACUGCUUUUCUCUCUGGCUAAUCUUACACCCAGGGGAUCAUGUGGAAACUAACCAGAGGGUGGGGAGUUAGUGUCCUCUGCUGGCCUCAUGAAUAUGAUUAUCUGAAACUUUCACUUGGCAGCUUUGUACAUGCUGUUCCAGCACCAUUAUCUUGUACGUUGAUUCAAAGCAAUCAAUAAGCCUUCAAGAAGGUUGUCCUGAACACUUUUGACAAAUUAUUAAUAGAAGUCAUUUGAGCAGUUGAGCUGUUCAGAACUUUUUACUGUUUAAAAGCUUGACUGUUGGGAAUGCAGCAUGCAAAAUAUUAAUUUCACUUCAUACAUUUCUAAGAAGAAUUUCUGAUGGAAGGGAAGCUUCGUUCUUCUGAAGUGAUGCUAGAAGCAAUGACACAACCAUUCAGACUCCAUUUGAUCAGUUGUAGAUAGAGUUACCUGAAGAUUCUGUAUUUUCCUCCCAUGUUCACAGGCACUUAGGAAAGGUUGUGGCUUUAUAUGGCAAAAAUGAUCAGAACGGCAGUGAACUUUGAAAAGUUCAGAAAAGAGAGUGUAUUUGAAUGGAGUUUCUCAAGCAGUAGCGGAUGAAAACUGCCCUGCUUGCGUCUAAAUCAGAAUAAAUGAGGAAGAUAUGAACUGAGCCUAGUGUGGAGGAGUACCAGGUAAUAGUUGGACAUUGCAGAAAAUACUACCUUUGUCACCUUUGGUGACGUGGGAUUUGACUAGAGCUGAAAUCACAGGGAGAUGAAUCUGUCUUCCCUGCAGAGGUUCAAAUAGAAGAGACACUGUCAGGGUAAAUUAGAUGCAGGACAAAAGCCUUCUGAUCACAGCGGGUUUCAGGGGGUUUAUUUUAAUGGGAUAACUCUUAGCUGAGGGCAAGCUGAGCUAAUGACUCAGAGUUGUGUAUUGCAAUAAAGGCGUUGUAGGUUUUUUUUUUUUUUGGAAAUUCUGAGAUUUCCUGUUCUCUACUGAAACCAUUAUGAAAAGUGUUAAAAGAUCUGAAGGGAUGGAAAAACAGCCUACUUGUAGUGUUUGCUUUCCUGCCAAAUGACCACUAGCAAGGCAAUUUUACCAAUCAGUCAGAAGCAAAAUACAUUUUUACUGCAACUUUGCAAAAUCUGCCUCAAUCAUUCAUGAUAGGAAGAAUUGCCCUGUGGAGAAGGCAGUGACUUGGCCCUCUGAAGCUUAAAGCUGAGUUUGAGAUGUCCUGAGUUGUUUUGGGAAAAGUGCCUAAUCUUUGUGCACCCCUUUAAAACAUGAUUGAUACUUCACUAGCCGGUCUGGGAAGUUUCUGUCACAAGUCAUUCCUGACAGUGCCAGUACUGUAUGCUCAGUGUCCUGCCACCACAGGAUCCUGAUCUUGUCUGCAGACUUUUUGCUCCAACUAAAGUAUAGCUAUAAAAAUCAGAAUGCAGGAUGUUGUAAGUACAAAGCUAGUUCAUAUGAAAACAACCGGAGAGUAACCAGAUUACACUCCAGUACACUGGGUUGUUGGCCAAGGUUAUUCAGUAACGUGCCAAGUGACACAGUCUCUAGGUUUUAGGUUCUUACUGCUUUUGAAGAUUGUUGCUUGUCCUAUGUCUGGUGAAUGAAUGAUUUAUGCCUCAAAACUGUCCCAGCAGUGCUUCUGAGCUACUGGGAUUAUAACUAUGAAGUAUUAAAAAAAAAGGUCACUAUUUUCUCCCCAUGCUGACUUGAGAACAUAGAUCAGACUGAUAACAGCUUUGAAAUAACCCAGAUGUGGAUAUGUUUCCCCAGAAAUUGAAGUCUUGCAUGUGUUUACGGUCGCAACAGCUCUAUGUGUGCAUCCCCUCCGGCACAGGCGAACCUGUUGUCCCGUGGAAGCAGCUGAAGGCUCGAGCAGCCUGUCUGGCACCGGGUGUGCUGGCUGCUGGAGUGACAGAUUUAACGCUGUCACGGCUUUGCUCAGUGAUGUCACUGGUGCUGAAAUAAAGCUGCAGCAGAUGAAGUCAGCGGCUCUGCUGGCUGGCUGGAGGCUGUUCCAGCUGUACUGACCACAGUGCUCUACAGAAAGAUAUCUGCAUUUCUUCUCCCUGAGUACUUUGAAAAAUGCUGUAGGGAAGCAGCAAGGGACACAGGUGGCCAGUGGCUCCAACACAGCCCAGCCCUAAGGCGUGUCUCUGUCUGUGUGAAUCUGUCUGAAGCUGGCACUGAAAUUCUCUCUUCUUUCUCAUGCCACUGGGCCAGAGGCUGCCUGCUUGCUUAGCUCACCGUGAGUACUCAGGCCUCCAGGGCAGCUGGAGUGCCAGCUUGCUGCCAGCUCAUCUGGGGAAACUGGUGACCCUGCCUUUGCAGGUGCAUGGUCAUUCAUGCCUGGGGUGUCUUCUUUGCCCCUGUCUUGUGGUGCUCGUGGAUAUUGCCCAGCCCAGCUGUCAGUGGUGCCAUCGCCCUGUCUAGAUGGGUAUGCGCUGUUUCUUCUAGAGACAGUUCAGAAAGCUAACGUGAUCACUAUGUCCCAUGGUGACACAUCAUCAGAAGCUAAGUAUACCAAGGAAGAACAUGGUAGAAUCAGUAGGAAUCAUUUGGGUGAAGUAAAAGGUGACCAUGAAUUUCUAUUUCUUCUUGCUAGGAAAAAAUAAAAGGAAGUUGUAUUUUGAGCAUAAACUCUGCCUUCAUUCAGGGUUGGCAAAUCCUGUUUUUUGUUCUGUUUGUUUUUAAUGUUCUUGCACUAAUUUCCUGGCUAUUCCUGCUUGAAAGUCCUACUGGACAAUGACUGAAUCCUUUUGUCUUGCCUGCCAAAUAAAGCAGAUUGUCAAAAGCAAAACAUGUCGUGGAUCAUGUUUUGCAGACAAACCGGAAAAGAACUUGGAUGCUUCACUUCCUCUGAACUUGCUGCCAGAUCUCAUGGGCUUCAUAUACAAGCUAUAUGGCAAAAGACUGCUUUGCAUUUCUAUAACUCUAUAGAAGUGUAGUAAAAGUUGGGCCACACUCUGAGCAGUAACUUGAGUUGGGCAGCUCUUGUGCACAAAGGUUGUGGUGGUUCUGUUUCCUGAGGGGCCCCACAACAUUCAGAGGGGUUAUCUGGUGAGCAGGACAGUUUGUGUGACCAGGAGUGUGAGGCUCAGCACUGAUCUAUCAAAUCUUUUAUGCUGGCAUUAGGCAUUGCCACGCUGUUGUUCGGUCACCAGCUUCUAAGUUUGCUUUCUCAGACAGGCUUGCUCACUGUUUUCUACGAUCUGCCUUGUCCUAGAUCUAGACCUCUCUGGAGACCUGAGUGCGUCAGCUGGGUUUGUUUUUUGUAUGUGGCUGGACUGGGCAGAGACGUGGCCUGGGCAGCCCAGUCUGCCAGCAAAUAGCCUCUGCUCAGCACCUGUGAAAUGCAGUGUGCCCUCAUGGCUACGUGGCACCUGGUGUACCAGGUGUUGGUGUGAGCAGAAAGCAGGCAGGCCCUAAGGCUUGGUGAGCUCAAAUAUGCUGUUGAGGCUGCUCUUCAUCCUGGUGUGUAUUCAAGACAUCGCUCCACACCUUGCAAAGGGGACGUGUAGCACCCGACUCCACACUCAGCACAGAUCUGAGGAGUUUGAGUUUUGAAGCUGUUGGAAUUUGAGUAUGAGGCUUGUUGUUCAGAGGCAAUAUCUUUUCAUAGCUGUUAUCUCAUAGCUUUGUGCAAAUACUCUAGGUAAAAUUGCCCCAUAAAAGUCUAACCACAAAUCAGGAGAGGUGGUGAAAGAGAGUGGGUUGGAAAGAAACUUUCUCCCCUCCAGUCUAUUUUAAUUUUAUGUUGUGAAAUAAGGGGGCUCUAAGUAAGCCAGCCAAGUAUUCUCAGAAGAAUUGAACUAUCUGCAAUGUUUUAUCUUCAGUAAGAUUUUUUUUUUCACCUUUCUAUAGGGAAUUAAGACGUCACUUGAUGAAGCAGAUCUGUGGUGCUUUGUGCCUGCGUCCCAAAUUCUUGUCAGAGGGGGAGGAGUUACAUAACGGGCAGAAAGAGUGCAAAAUUCCCAGUAUGCUGUGUUUGCUCUGUGAAAAUGGUGUCAGGGGAAUAGACACACAAAAGUAAGAUCAAAUAAAUAGAGCUGAGAGAAUGAACCCGAAUGACACAUGGAAGUUACAGAGAAGAAGCUGGUAGUUUCAGUUGUGAUUUAAGAGUUUAAAGGGGUAAUGGCAGAAUAGAGGUAAAUCCAGUUUUCUUCCACACGUUACAAACAGCUCAUUAUUUUCAUUUAAAUGUUUUUUUUCUUUCAUUUUUGUUUUUCAAUCCAAUCUUCAUUGUCUUGUGUUAAGGCUGAUAGUCUGUGUAGGAUCUAAGCUCAUUCCCAUUGAAACACAUGUAAAGACCUCCAUAGGCUUGCCAGCUUUCCAGGGUCUAGUCAACUUUGCAAAUUCUGUACCAAGCAGAUACACCUUGACAGCACCUGAUUCUAAAUCAUUGAAGUUACUCCUUGGAAAUUAUAAAAUUUCUUAAGAAAGAAAAAUCCUUAAAAAUUCCUAACAAGUAGUACUCCCAUGACUACUCGCCUAAUAAAUGCCAUAUGGAAGAACAGUGCAGCAUUUGAUUUCCAGAGUGCUCAGAAACCAGCUAAGAAUGCCAAAUAUUGUUCCUGGUUGGCCUGGAAUAAUGGAGCAAUGCACAUGCUGAAGCUCUUGCAUUGUUUGUGCAGUUCUGAAGUGUUUUCCCAUCACAGGAAAGGUAUAGCCCCAUCUUAUAUUUUUGUUCAUGUAUUAUUGCUCAUUCAUGUGUGUUCUGCUUUCUUGCUUCUUCAGAAUUUAGUGUAACAGAGGUAAAUUGCCAUUGCUCAGAUACACCUCCUUUUCUGUAAGCCUAGUUAAAUCUAGGUAUACAACAGCAAUUUGUAUUUUUAUAUCUUUCACAAUGCUAGGGUGCACCCACAGAGGACAUCUGAUGGGCAAACGUCAUUGGCAAAAAGCCAGACUAACUUGAAUUUGUAUAGUAUUAGCACACGUGAAGGAAUUCAAAGUUAAACAGAGAUCCUGCCACAAAUUUGUGUGAAGGAGCAAAAUCAUCUCUCGUAGUGCUCAGUAGCAGCAGAAGGUAGAGGAGCCCUGGAGGAUCGUUGGCAUUUCUCCCUCCUUGCUUCCUGUGUCUGGCCUGCACGUUGUCCAGGGCCCAGUCUCUUCAGAGUCUCAUCCCCAGGGAACAUGUUGCCAAUGGGGCUUGGACAUCACUGCAAAAGGCACUUUUCCCUGACAGCCUCAGUUGGCUUUUGAAUGCUGAGGUGCAAUGGAAAUGUCCCUGGUGCACCUCAGUGAGGAUACAUUACUAUACAGUGACCCCAGUUCUUUACGAUUAUCUACAAAAAUGAGAAAAUGCCAACCUUUGCUAUAUGUAAAUGUUUUCAGAGAGGCAGAGAGAGGUACAAAAGAAUGGGGGUCAAUUGGAAGAAGAAUGCAGCUCACUUCUCCAAUAGCAAUUACAGUGUCUGAGUCUUACCUGACUGCUAGAGACCUGCUGCCUCACUUGGUAACGAAAAACAGGCCCAGAAAUGAUGGCGUAGCUAUAGCAGCACUGCAGCUGGGGAGCUGUUCAUUACAAAUAGCCCGUGCCAAUAUGGUGUUGUGGAAAAACUCUUCAGUACCUCUUCUACCUUUCAAGCACUUUUUAUUUUCCUUCCGUCCUAUCUGUGUGCUCUUGCAGUCUGCUGCUGGGAGGCCUUGUGCAUCCUGUUUUGCAUUUGGACUCCUAAACCUGGCUCUUGGUUCUUCCAUCAGCUGUUUUCAAACAAUCUUUUGUGCCAAUCUAAUAAACAGUGGAUGUAUAAAUUUAGUGAAGGACUGAUCCCAGAUGCUUUUCUGUCUUGUACUGUAAUACAUUUUUCAUAAGCAGAAAUUCUGUUCUUAAUGUUCCAAAAGUGAUAUAGAAGUUGGAAAAGCAGCCAUGUCUAGGCCUCCCUUACCUGCUGUUUCUCAUUUCUGCAAAAAGAACUGUAAGUAAAAUUACAUGCCAGGGUCUUUAAUCACAGUCUGAAGGUUAAUACCAAGGGUUUAUGAACUGCAUUUCCCUCAAAGCUUUAGCAAAAUACUUGAUUCCUGUGCUUGUCACAAUUUCUGUGCUAUGCCAGCUGUUGCCUGAUUAUUCUUGUUUCAUUAAUAAAGAGUCAUGUGGUUGGAGAUAAAGGUGAGCUGUGAUGUUGCAAUGCAUCACCAUUGAGUUGUGUGGAUGAAGCCUUGAUAAAAAUCUCUGCUCUGUGAUGUACACGCUCUCAAAAUUCACUUUAGGAAGCAUUCUUGCUUUCAUUGUAUCAGCCUGAGAGGAGACGCCGCAUGAGGAAUUUGCACAGGAACUGUUUCUCAGCCUAUCAAAUAUUUGCCUAUUCCCAACUAGAAGGAAACAGGCAUUUAGCGAAGGGGAUGUGUGCGGUGGGAUCAGAGCUGUGUACUGUGUUGGGCUGCUGCUCUGCUGGUGCAAGAGCAGGAGGGCUCAGCUCUGUAAGGCUUUGGGCUUAGCUGGGUAAAUGUGCCCCGCUGGCAACUGUUCAGUGGCAUGGCAGAGCCCUCUGCACUGCAUGGCAUGCAGCGCGGGGAGCUGCUGUUUGGGCCAAGCUGAUAAAGCCCAGUUUAUUAUGGUAGGAAGCUUUGAGUCUGUGACCAGCUGAACACUUUCAACACGUGGUAGUGAAUGCAAGUGUAAGCACCUUGUACAACUGAACAAUGACUCUCUUAAUGUCUUCCCUGGAGAUUUCUUACCAGAAGAGAAAAAUUAUUCACUUUGACUAUUCACACCAGACUAUUCACUUUGCCUGAAAGGAAUUUAAUCCUUCUGCAUCUUUGAACCGUUUGGAAAUGUGAUGUUCAAGCAGAUCAAUUUUCUCUAGGCAGAUGUGUGAUAUGCCAUUUCUCUAAUUACUUUCUAUGCAUGCUUUAAAAUGAAGAAGUUCAAUUUCAACAUAUUAUUUUAUCUUAUCCAGGAAGAACAGCUUUUUUCUCCUUACACCCACUGCCCAGCAACAGAUUGAGAAACACACAGACGCACACGCUUAUAGUCCACUAUAUCAUUUCUCUCUCUAAUAACAAUAGUGUGUGGUUUUGUGUGGGGAAAAAAACACAACUAUUUAAUUACUAAAACUCUAUUAGUUCUGCUCUUAACUCUGCUGACCCCUUUGUAGAUUAAAAAAGAAUUAACCCCGCUGGCAUAGAUCCCUCCUGCCAUUUCAUUGUGUGCUUGGGUUUUGAACGUGUAGUGGAAGAGCAAGGAAGAAGACUCAAAUAAACCUCACGAUGAUUAGACAAGUUUUGCUGACCAGUAUUACUCAUCAUACUGACUAGUACUUGUUUGUUAUGCCUGCAGGUUAUAAUGGAGGUGUCUGGCCUAGCUCUGAGGAAAAAAAGUUGAGCAUUAGAAGCUGCAGCAGCUUGGGGCUGAUCACCCCAAGUGGCUGACCUCGUUUGGGUACUAUAGCUAGUUUAUUGCAAGAUAGUCCAAUCCAUAAGAUUGGAUUCUUCCAUAGCACUGCCAUUUCUCUGUAGGCACACUACAGUUUCCUUUUGCUUGCUCAUUUGUCUCCCUCUGCCUGUUGUCUUGUAUUUGCCAUUGAAAUUGCAAGCACUGUCAGGCAGGAAUGGUCUUUUGUUCUGCAUAUGCCUCAGCAAACACAAAGGUAUCAUAGGCCCAUGGAUGCUACUGUGAUAGCUUUAAUUGUUUUCACUGGAAACCACAGUUGAACUGAAGGUUUCAAAUUAGUUUGGUGAAGUGGGACUGUCUUGCCAAAAUCCAUGAUUGCUUUCACAUAUUCCACUAAAUUUGCUGCUAGGGUCUACGUGAGCAUAAAUCCUAACCUACUGCUGCGUUAUUUGAGAUUAGUCACUGGAGAUUCUCUUAUAUAGACUCCAAGAAAGUUCACUGCUCACUGUCUUGAAAUGUGUUGGCAAGGUAUGGUGCAUUGAUUACUUGGUACUGUGCGUGCUUCUGAUAAUUAAUGCUGGGAUCUUGCCUCACUUAAUGGGGAGUUAUAGUGGAGUUUCCCACUAGAAUUUGGUAUACCUUGCUGGUGGUUUUCUAUAUUGUUCCCUCUAAAUAGCAACAUGCACCAAUAGCAUAACACAGUGAAGUUUUAACUCCUUUGUACAGUAGUUUUUACUCCCCAUCAAUAAAAAAUUUUCGAGCCACCACCAACCAGAACAUACUGCUUUCAUAUUCUGUGAAGGGAAAAUAUUUCAGCAGCUGAGAAAUGCAUGCUGCAGUUGGUAUUUCAUAUGACUGAUACUGGUGCGAUAUUGAUAACUAGUAACAAAACUGUAAGAGAAGAGCGUAGUAUGAUACUCCAGCCAGAUGUCUGGUUGUGUCCUUGGAAAUACUGUCGGUAGAAAAUUAUUGCUAGAGAUGCAGCAGCGCUGCCUUCACUGAGGGAGACAGACACUGACUGAGUAGGGUCUGCAAGCAGAUUUAUGGUAAAGACAGAUGCAGAACCUGCAAUCCAGAACAAAAACAUUUGUGGGAGUGGAGAGUGUUAAUGGCCUUUUUUUUUUUUUUUUUUUUUUUCGAUGAUGAUGAUGAAAUCUGGGUAGAAAGAAACUAACAAACAACCUUAGUUAUUAUAUUGCUGAUGUGUUACCAGUCCAACUUUUGAUGCGGAAUGAAGCUAACUCGGUGCAUCCUAGUGAAGAAAGAAUAAAGGAAUGGAAGGUAAUCAGUAUUAUACUGAAUGAAUCUUUUUCCUAUCUUCUAGAAGGCAGCAAGUUCACAGUCUUUUGAAUUCUCAGAGCAAAACAAUCAAAUAUCUUAUGUUUUAAAGCCAUUUUUGAGGCUGUUAUUUGGCCAUACUGUCUGGAGCCUUUUUAUGUUGCUCAAAAUGGAAUUCAUAAAUUGUUUUUUGAUGGUUAUGCACAUGUAACAUCCACUGGGUGACAGCAACAGUUGAACAUCUAACUAAAUGUGCUCGAGAAAACAAGACUUUCUGUAAUAACUAAGUCCCAGCAAUGUGGAGAAUACAAUUUGAAGCUUGCCAGCUCAUGGGCUAUUGUUCAUUCUGGUUAGCCAGAAGCAAAAGGCUGAGAUCUAACAAGGGUGAUGAUUUCAUCCUUUGGAUACCAAAGCUUGAAUAUUUCAGUGUUGGAAGAAAAAUGACACCAUUUUAUAGCUGCGUAGGACGUAAUUGAUACUUGUUUUUGUCUUCUACCUGAACUCACACACCUAACAAUUAUGUUUAUGUUGUUGGCUUCUUUUUCUCAGCUGAACUUACAGCUGGACUGUGCUGAGCUUGAUCCCAAACCAGCAAAAAUAGAUAAAAUCUCUGUAGAAAAGUUUUUCUUGAUUUUAAUGUCUGUGAUGUCUUCUCACAGAGAAAUUGCAAUGAUUUCGUGGCAUUCUAAUAACUAGCGUGAUCUAAUUAGACUUGUAGGGAGAUGUAAUUAAAAAAAAUAAAAAGACAAAAUGGUAUAGUCUUGGAUUAAAAACAAAACAAAACAGAAGCUGUCAAGUACUCAAGAAGGCUGGGAAACUUCUGUUUAUUCCCAUUAUAUCAACUAGUUUAAUAAAAGGCAUAACUUCUUAUAAUCUGUCUUAGAUAUAAUCACUGCAACCUUGCAGACAAGAUAUAUGUUUUGCUAGGAAUUCUUGGAACAUCCCUUCUUGCAUUCCUUCCAGAACUAGAGUUUCCCGUUCCUUUACAUGCAGUAUCUCAGUGAAGGAAGAAGCCUGACCUUCAUUUACAAACCAAUCACUGCUGGAGUAUAUGGAACAAUACUUCAAAAGGAAAAAUAAUUUAAGGCACAGUGAGUAUUCUGAUGGCUAUAUUCAAAAAGCAAAUCCAAAGAGUCUGUCUCUCUUGCCAGCUGUGUAUUGCUCUAACCUCACUCUGAUGUCACUCCAAAGAUAGUUCUGUCCAUAAAUGUACAAAAAUAUCAGGGAGUGGUCAACUCUCAAUAUACAGACCCUCUAGCAUCUUUGUUCUUAGCACUCAUCAGCCAGGAUCAGCGCAGUGUAACAACCCCUUCCAUUACCUUCAUUUUUCUCAUACAUUUUAGGGCCCUAUUUUCAAGCCUUUUUUGGUUUUGCUGUAAUUUGAGGCUAAUUUUACUGUAAGUCAAAAUGUUGACAAGCAUACACUUCCUCUGUAGGUUUAGAGAUUGUGGGUGAGUAGCAUGUCUCUGUGCCACAUUUAGCUUUGGAUUUUGAUGGAACAGACUGUUCCAACACGUCAGGCUUUUUCUCCUAGACCUCACCUUUCUGCCCAUAUGAAACACAAGCUGUUUGCUAUUUUGUAUCCUGCUCCUGUAUAAUGGACUAAUUCUUUUCUUACACUGUCUUCCUUCUACUGUCACAUCUUUUCUACACUAUGGUGAUCCUUCAAGCAGGAAAUAGGUCUCCAAGUCAAGCUCCUUGCUGUGCUUGGUUGCUGCUUUGUAUUUUCUAUAACUGUAGUGGUCUAGUGGUCUGGGGUCUCUGGAGGAGACCAUGGAAGGUGGUGCUGGUGAUUCCUAGGGAAGUGAGAGGUGUUAGAUCUACAUUCUCUGUUUCAGUGCCAGACUAUGGUAUGAGAUUCUAGACGUUCCUGUCUCUCUUUUCUUUUAGGAAGGAGCAGCAGUUGCCAUCAAUGUGUGUUGUGAUCUUGAAUGGAAGGGGAAGUGGAUGAGAAGACGUGCGAUGGUUUAGUCUGGGCAUUUAGACAGCAGUCCUAUCAGACUGUUGUAGCCAGUUAAACCCAAACUCAGCAGAAUAAGAGAAGUGCACAUGCACUUUCCAAACCAUCUCCAGGUUUAAGUGCUGAUGCAGGAAGUAAAUUUGAACUAAAAAUGCCUGGAAAUUUAAUUUUUGGUUGGCAAAAUAUGGCUAUCUGAGGAACAGCUUAGGUAGUUAAAGCUCUUGAAGAAGGGCUUGUAGAAAUAACCGAAAGCAGGUUUGUGUAGACUAAGUAGACAUCAGAGGUGUAUGCAUUGUUAUAGCUUUCUCAGUUAGAUUUUUCAAUGUGUGGUGCACUUUUGUAACCAGGUUUAUAGUUGUUAUUCUUAGAAUGAAAAGUUUUCUUUGAAGAUGUAGACCUGUACAUCUUUAGAUACAUUUUCAGGCACUGGACAAGUGCUUCAGUAAGUAGCUAUGAUUCUUUUCUCAACAGGUGUAUUAGUGUGCUAGGAGUUUAAGAGUUUCCCUGUUUUCUCCAUGGAAUGCAUUCAUAUCUCUUGAUCUGUGUGUUGUGGUAUUAUUAUUAUUUUUUAUCCAUGCACCUGGCUUGCCUAUUCUCUUCAUGCUCUGAAUUGGGAUCACAAUUCUGCAAGAAAACCAGGCUUAUACAGAUGAAUCUAUUGAUCUAGGUGUUUCAUGAGAAUUAGGCUCACAUCUGUGUUCUCAAAAAUAAGAGAUUAAGGGCUUUUUAUUUUUUUUUUCUUCCCAAGCAUUAAAUGAAGCAUUUACUUCUCGUAUUUUAUCUUCUGCUUUGAAGAGUGAAAUAUACAUAGGAUUUGCAGUAGUUUUUUCUUUUCUUUCAAUAGUGUUUGAUGCCCUGUGAGAUAUUCUGGCUUUGCUAACAUCAGUGAUAGGCUUCCAGUCUUCAAGGUCAGUGGGGUUUACCCCUACUGUGUUGGGGUUUUUAGAUGAUAGCUUGAUAAGCAUGUUGUAUAAUUCUGACUUGCCCAAGCUCUUGCUACUACUUUUCAGGUUUAUAUGCCUAUCUUCUUUGUAGACUUUUUUUCCUUUUCCUGUAGAAAUAUAACUUCAUGUCAUGGCAGUUGUGCCUCUUCCAUCUAUCUCUGGACUCCUGUGGAUGAGCAGUGAGCCAAUAUCCUGUGACAACUGGCAGGCUCUUCUUAAUAGACUGGUCCAGCUUCUCAGUACAGCCCUUAAAGUCGUGGAUUCUUGGUCUGGAAAGUCCACCUUGAAAUACCUUGCUGUUUCUUGCUGAAAUCUGUUUUUUGGUGAGUGAGUACCAUUUCACCUCUGAGAUACCACAAGUGCUGAUGAUGGCUCCUUGCUUUGGAGGGUGUUGACUGUGAGUCUGGCCCCUGCUUUUAGAUGAGCCUGGCAGAUUUUUUUGUUGUAAUUUGGAAUGGUGCCUCCUUUGGCACCAAGCAUUGCAAAAGACAAUUAUCCAUUAGAGAAGUUGUCCCUGGUACAUUUUCCUGCAUCUGUGCUCAUACUGAUCUUUCUUCUCCUGUUCCAUUACCAUGGAUAUUUGGCAGGGCCAUGAAACCUCUGGGUGCUCACUCAGUAGCCCAACCUGAAACACCACUACAUCUAGAAUUGGGAUGCUUUGGGAAAGAGUAAAGCACCCUGGGGUCCUAGAGUUGCCAUGUAACCUUGCCCCUUUCCAUCCCCCAGUGUCCUCCCGUAUCCUCCUGUCUUCCCUCUGUCCCAGUCCAUCCUGCAUCCCACCUACAGUUCCUUCCUAACAUGCUCCAGCCCCUGCUGUGUGCCCCAGCCCCACCAUGUCCAUGUAGCCCCCUUGGCCAUGCACAGGUGAUAUCAAAGUUGGGCUCAUCCCACAGCAGUGACUGCAAGCACAGCUGGGUCAGCACUUCCAGCACCACCAGUAUGUCCUGGGGGCAGGGACCCUCAUGUCCAACAAGACCCUGCCAACUGGAGUAAUGCUGAUUCAUGGGGACUGAGGCUCUGGGGACACCUACCCACAGGGCCUCAGGCAUCUAGGAGACCCACUGACCUGUGGGGACCCCUUUUUAUAGAAAAACUUGAUACUGCAAAGGAAUAAGGUAUAAUAGUAAAUAUUAAGUUGAACAAUGUUUCUUUGUGCUACAAACAGUAUAUGUUUAAAUUAACUCAUCGCACUCAGUAACAAGUUUUGCCAGCAAAUAGGCAAAACCUUCUGUGUGAAAUAGUUCACUUCUAAUAGCUCAGGAUCUGUCAGACUUUUACCAGAUGAAUAGUUAUUAAAUUGAGGAUAUGUGCACUGCACUAUUUAAUAUAUAAUGAAACUCUUUUAAUAAAUAUAUGAGCUGAGAUUAAGGCUGCUAAUUUAAUCACUGACAGCAGAGUCUCUGUGUAUGGAAAAUAACCCUUUAGCAUUGAAACGUUCAUUUCUGCUAUUUUUUCCAUGUGGUUAUUAUACUUGCAAAGAUCCAAAAAAGGCCAUUUUCCUGGAGGCAGAAAGAAAACUAAAAAAGCUUUAGAGGCAGCUGGGCAGGGAGCCGUGGGUCUGACUUUGCUGACAGAAAAAGUGAUUUGGAGGGGAGCAUAGUCCGGCGUUUUAUUGAGAAAGUCCUCAGGUAGAAAACUGCUGAUUAGUUUUACCCUAGCAGUGUCUCAGCUGAGUCUGACCACCUUAUUUCCCAGCUCCCAGUGCCAGUUUCAGGUGCCUGGGGGAGAAGUGUGGUUCCUUGCUGGGACAUGGAUGACUCUGCCAUGGUGUUGCUGGCUGGUUCUCCACCCCCAGCACAAUGAUGGAUUCUUAAAAUUACUACUGAUUUCUCAACUACUGAUUUCUCAGGAACAGCGUGUAUGUUUUUGUAUAAGGGCUGCAUCUGCUGAAUGUUAAAUAGAUUUUGUGUGUACCGGUGUCAGGAGACAGAAAGAAUAAAUAGUCCCUAAGCAGACAGAAAGGCUAUAUUUAGGUCUAGGCUGAGUAUGCCCUCUGCCUGCCAAAAGAAAAAAAAAAAAAGCCUCUUCAUUUCCUGCUGGUCCUUUAUAUAUAAUUUUUUCUUCAUUGUGUUUUAAAACUUUCAAAUGUGGAUCCAGUCUAGUGUUGGGAAGCUGCACAGUCCUGCCUCUGUGACAGCCCCAGAAGCAUACGGAGUUACUUCUGGGCUCCAGCCACAGCCCUGCCCUGCCUGGCCACCAGGUCACUGAGCCUGAUCUGAUCUGUGGGCUGACAUCCUGACCCAGCCUCAGCCUAUUUCCACCCCCAAAAUCUUGCCUCUGGUUGCCCUCACCAAGCCUAAACGUAACUCCCACUCACGGGGAGUUACUCAGUGGGAGUCCCAGCCAGGCCUUCCCUACACCAUCCCUAUUCCCAUCCCCAGGGAACUGGGGCUGCCUCCUGGCUUCCCUGCUUUCUGGCUGGGGUGGUGGGGUGGGCUGUGGCUGUGAGACCCAGCCCCAAGGGUGACCCCGCUGCUCCUGGCCUUCGCAGUGCCCUGAUGCACGUGGUGUCCAGUCUUCCAGACAACACCCUGUCAUGCUUUCAGCUAUUAUGAAAAAUUAAUCCACAGAAGUCUUAGGUUAAAUGGACCAUGAAGGGCUUCCAUGAUUCCUCCUUUAUGAUUUUUCAUGGAGAGUACAAGACUCCCUUUUAAAGAGGCUUUGUGUCUUCGGAUUUUGCAAAGCAUGGGGAGCGUGCCUGUGUUGCAGAGGAGAACAGAAGUACUUGAGCUAGUGUUGAAUGCAGUGCUUCGGAUAUCACAGAGCAGUCCAGCCAUGGAACUCAGCAUGAGCUAACUUUACCCUACUUCUCCGCACUGUAGACAUACUCUGGUUUAGAGGUUUGACAAAUGGUCUGUAGGUUUGAAACAGCUUCAGGAACAGACUGGCAUUAAUCCCAGGUUGAAAUAGGAAACAAAGAGUGCCAAGAGACAUUGAAAAAGGAACAAGAGUUUCUUGUAACAAGUACUCAGAGGACUUUAGCCCUUGAAGAGGAGAUUCAGAGCUCCUGAUGUGAGCAGACUUUCAUAUACUGCUUUCCAGUUUUAAAAUUGUACAACUGUCUUUUGUUCCAGCCACUUCAGAAGUUGCUAAAAAUCUGCCAGUUAUAGGAAGCCUCUUUCCCUCCCCUUUUGUCAAGAAUGACUCUUGUAAGUAACUCUGAGCCUGUGCAUACUGCUCUGCUCUAUCAGGAAUAGAGCUCUGCAGCUUAUCAUGAAAUGGAGAAACACAGCGUACACCUUCAUGAGGAAAACAGUUGAGGAGAUAGGAUAUCGGAUAUCAACUCUUAUUUUCUACUAGAGGUGAUUAUUUUUUUUUGUUUUUUUCUUUUUUCCUCUAGAACAGCCUGUAUUCUGGGUUUGAAGCUAUGACAGGGGAGAUUCAGGCUGGAUAUCAGGAAAAUGUUCUUCACCAAGAGGGUGGUCAGGCACUGGAGCAGGCGCCCCAGGGAAGUACUCAUGGUACCAAGUCUGGUGGAGUUCAAGAAGCCUUUGGAUAAUGCUCUCAGACAUGUGGUCUUAUUUAUUUGGUGGUCCUUUGGGGACCCAGGAGUUGGACUAGAUGAUCCUUGUGGGUCUCUUCCAACUUGGGAUAUUCUAUGAUUCUAUGGUUCCCCUUUUAUAUAUUGCUUCCUUCCAUGUGUAGACUAUGAGUAAAUGUGAGCAGAGAACCACAAACUCCGUAAGACCAGAGUAUUUUGGAGCAUGCUGCAGCAUGAAAAUUGGGUUGGUAAGGUCCCAUCUAAUGCCCAGUACAAAGUCAUGCUUCGUGACCUACAGUUUCGGGAAUGACAGCUCUGUUUUAAUUCCUUCAGUACAUGUUUAUGACUCACUGGGUCAUCUGUGUUUUGAAUGUAGCAGAUUCUGUUGCGUGGGUACAUAUGCAUGUGGUGUAUAUGUAAGAGAGAAAAAGCUAAGGUUGAAUAUCUGACUACGAGUACUUCUCAUUUCUGUAAACUAGGGGUGGCUAUGGUAGCCUAACCUGAAGCUAAAAAUGCAGUAAAUACUGGAUGGUGGGAUUAGGAGCUUUCUACACAACCCAUUGUAGAAAUAGUGAGGAGUUUUUGCACAAUCAAAUGGUUGUGACUAGUAUGGAGCAGAAUGCUAGUCUUCUAGCCGAAUUGCAAAUUUGAAACUGGCUAUGAAUGACCAAGGGAAUGAUAAAACUUUCUUUAACUAGACAGGUAAAAACAUGCAAAUCCUUUAUCUUUGUCUCCAGUAAAAAUGCUCCUCUGGUUCAAUUAUCACUUAAAUGAGUAUAAAUCAGGAAUAGCUCAUGUAAAUCUUACAUCUGUGCUGCACCUUCUGGUAAGUCUCAUGGGCUUGACAGUGAUGUGAUCUAAUUUAAAGUGUCAUUGAGGAUUUAUUCAGAAUGAGUUUUAAAAGUGUACUCUGCAACGUUUCUCUAUUUGAAAGGAGAAAGUAGGUUAAAAGAAAGAUAAUUUACAAGGAAAAGUCAAGGCAAGACUAAUCAGCAUGAGGGCCUGGUUAGACACAUAGCAAUGUUUAAUCCUUACUGUUACUAAUCCUUCAGGCCAGGAUUGCAAAAAAGAGAGUUUUUCUUUUAUUUCUUGUGUAUUACCAACUGCUUAGAGGACAGAGCAACCCCAGUCUCCUCAUUUUGCGUCAGGUUAAUAGGAACAGCGUAAAGGACAAGAUGCAGCACAUGUUACAGUAUAUGCCUAUGGGCUCCAUACAUCAUUCAACUGGUAAACUAUUGCCUUAUAAAUCUAAGUAACCAAGAAGAAUGAAACCAGAGCCUGAUGGUGCCCAGUAACAUGGCCAAGAGACAGUCAUAACGACCAGGCAUAUGGGCAGCCAAGUGAAUCAUGCUGCCAGGAGGGAUGUCUGCAGUGCAGCAGUUGGGAAAUGCUUAUUAAAAGUCCUAACAUGGCUGCAUGCCCCUGAGGAGUCAUUUCUGUUGAAAGAGGCAUCUUUCCAGACUGCUGUUUAUCAUCACCCUCCUGGGAAGCUUCAACAAAAACGGCUGGAAACCUCCCCUCCUACAUCAUUUCCUGAGCAAUUCAAUCAGCUUAGAAGGAAAGGCUUAAAGCCAAAAGCUACAAAUUGCUGAAGGACAAACAUCCUCACUCUCCAUGCCUGUUUGAACUUGGGUACUGAGCUGUGUGGCAGCAGGACCUGGGGUUCCUUGCAAGGUGUCCUUGUGAAAUAGAAUGAAACACCCAAUGGAGCAGUACACUUGCGCAUGUGUGGAUUCUGCUGGCAAUGUGUGUGUUUCUGGAUGUCAUUCUCCAGCAGCCAUUCUUUCUGAGCUCGGUUUUGAAGAAGCAAAAGUCUCUGCAGCUGUCACCUGAACGUUUCCCGUCUGAUUCAGCUGCCUUGCCUGCUCUUUCUUGCUCAGGGUAAUUGUAAGCUGCCCCGUAGCCACGAAACAACUUGAGCUUCUUGCUGAAAUCGCACCCAGCCGUUUCUUUCCGCAAGGCGAGGGAGAAAGGAGGUCUGCAAGAGUUCACGUUAAUAAUGACUUAAAUGCCCAUUUCCCACACAUCUUUGCUAGCACAAACAACGAAAAUAGUCCACUUGCAAAGAACCUGAUUCAGCUUUCUUGCAUUCCACAAUAACAGAUGGAUUGCUAGACUGUUUACUGUUGCUUCCCACAAACUUCCUGUUAGUAAACUCCUGUAUUAUUUAUGAAACAGAAAAAUUACAAAGAAGUACCCUAGCUGAUUACUGCCUGCUGGUGAACCACUGCCAGAGAAACUUAUUAUACAAAUAUGUGUAUGAGAGCAAAGAUUGCUCUGGCUGCUGCUUUUUUUGUUGUUGUUGUUUUACUCUUACAAUUGUUCAUUUCACAGUAUUCUGCAACCCUGACUGGACUCGUGGCCCUAUUGUGUUGCAUUCCCAAGCAGGUAUUUCCUGCAUCCAGACAUUGACAGUCAAAUCAAGGCAUUCAUGGAUGUGUGAAGGAGCAAGGAGGAAAAACAAAGGAAAAAAAAAAAAAAAAGCACGCAUGCAUUGUUGCAGCAAUCAGCUACGAAUAAGAAACGUUUGAAGCCUUUUUGUUUUACAAUGACAAUGAUGAAUGAGAUGUUUCUAAUGUGAUAUUAAUCUUUGCUGCCUUCGUGUAUGAAGCCUGUUAUCUUGGAGCUGUUGGUAGAAAAGAGAGAGAAUAUCGAUCACCUUCAUGCUACUUCUGAUAUAAGUAGGUAGCAAAUGCAAAGAAACUAUUUUCCUCUCAGUUUGGCUGUUAAACUCCGUGAAACAUAUGAGCUGAGAAAAGCACUUUGUUUUCACUGCAUCCUGUAGGUUUGAUUGAUUUCUGACUUUCGGCAGCAUGAGAAGGGAGGCCAGCCUAUAGUCCAUUUGCACAAUGUAUCAACAAAGCUAGCUAAUUUAAAAAGUAGUCUGUGAUAAAAAGGAAUAAAAUGUAACGCAGAAAUAUGAAUCUUGUAUCUUACCCAAAGUACUUGUCGUGAUUCUAGAAAUAACACUUGACCUAACAAUAACACAGUCGUUCUGUUUUUUGAAUAGCUGCUAUUAUAUUUCCCCGUGUUUCUGUUCUAUGUAUGUGUUCUGUAUGAACGAAUUGGCUGCUCCACCUGAUAUUUAUGACUGUAGACGUGCAUUAUACAUACAUACAGAAACAGAAUGAAAAUUUUCCUGAUCUGAGAUACAGAUAAGUCUUCCUUGAGAUUUUUUUUUUUUUGAUUCCCUAAACUGAAAUCAAAACUCAAACCAGCACUGCAGACUGAGUGCUUUCUAAUGUUAUAGACCUGCUAUCAUGGAUCUUUCAUUGCAUAAAGUUUAACACAAAAAAGCUGGUGUACGUUGUAGGCAUCUGCAGGAUGCUGAUUAAAUCAUCAUAUACCUUUAUAAGGACUGUAUCUGCAAAGAGUCAAUGCCGAAUGGAAUGGGGCUUCUGCUGAUCCUGGGGCAGAGCUUGUUUGUGUGCAUUUAUCUGUGAGACUGUCACAUAACUUAUCACUUGUUUCAAAUAAUAAUAUUUUCUCUGAUCAAAUUCUCUCUCUUCUCUGCAUUUUUAAAUGCUCUCACUCUAAGCUCCUAUUGACAGGAAAAGUAUUCAAUAUUAUUAAGGGCAGAUGAUCAACUGCAGUAUCUGUCUCCUGAUGCUUCACUCCACCAACAAGAAGCUUGUGACAGAUGUUUCUAUGCUUUAUGCAAAUAGGAACUUCAUGGAUCAGUUUUCCUUUCCUCCAUGGAAUAUAUGCAGCUGGAAAAUAGAAAUCCAGCUCCACGGCAUGAAGGAAAAAAAAAAAAAAAAGAAAAAAAAAGAAAGAAAAGCCACUGACCAAACAGGCAGCCGACCGAGAGAAAGCAAGCGGUACACGUGAAAUCAGAAUAAUUGGACUGCUGGUUCCUAGGAUCACUUCUGGGUGUCUUAAGUCAAGCAGUGUUUGCGAUGAUAUGGUUUUUGUGGGCUUUCUCUGUGACUACACUAUCGUUCACAAGUCGUUGCUGAAAGAUGAAAAAAUCUUUCCUGGGUUGUGUGUGCAUGAUUGCUUCUUCACAAAUAAUUUUUUUACCAUUUCUGACGUGCCGUUUUCAUUCUCGCAGUAGUUAUGGAGAACUAUCUGUAUUAGAUUUAAUAUGUAAGUAUAUUAAAAAUAGUGAAGCUGAGCUUGCAUAUGAAAAAAUGAUUACAGUUUAUAUGUUAUAAAUAGUGUAGAGACAUUUAUAUAAACAGUAUGGAUUUAGUUAUGUUCUUUAUAAUAGCACAGAAAACUGGAUAUGUAAAAGUGAUUGAUGAAAAGAAAAUGGAAAAUUUCCUUCCUGUUUAUUAAAAGAAACAAACCCCCCCAAACUUAGCAAUUUAGUGGAGGUUUAAAGGAAAUAUAGUUUUACAGAUUAUGAUACAGUACAAAAAAUUUCUAUUUAGUGAUUUCUAAAAUAGCUUACAAUAAGGACAGAUUGUUGAAUGUUACCUCCUAUUACCCUAGAAAAACAUGAGAGGUGAUCAUACGAAAUGCUAAUGAUAAAAAAAGCUAAAUUUUAAAAUGAUUAUUAAAUAGAAUUAAUAUUGUUCUUUUAAACAGACCUGGUCUUCUUAUAUUAUUUCUAAUUUUAUAUAGUUCUUUUAAUAUUUCUGUGCAACUAAUUUUUAUCAUAAGACAUGGGAAGAUGUCUAAUGGAUUCUUAGUCAGUUUGUCUGUACCUUAUUUUCUCAGUGAAGUUUUUCUUGAUCUUGUGUAUUUUCAAUAUUUUAAAAUCUAUUGUGGGUCACAGAAAUAUUUUUUGGAGAUUCUCAUUUAGAAUUUAAUUUUAAAUCUGUAUCUCAUAUACUGUAAACACUCAGUUGGGAACUCUGAUAAUUUCUGUUUCCCCAAAGCCUCGUUUUGUAUCAUAGUAUUGUAUAGAAUCUUGUCUCGAUCUCACGACUAGUCAAAAACUGGGAGGGGAUCUUUAUCCACUUCAGAUGUGCUACAAAGUUUUGUUGAAAAGCCCCUUUCUGUAUUUUUUUCUAUUAAAAUUUAUAAUAAGCAUUAGUGAUUUUAUGUAGAUUUAUUUUAAUUGAGUUCAUUAAAAAAAACAUAGCCAAAGAUAAAGUGCCAAUAUCAGGAAAAGAAGAAAGAAAAAGGCUACAUGUGUAAAUGACUAUCUUGCUUAACUGAAUCUAAUUUAAUUGGACAGCAAAUAAUUAGCAAUAUGUUUGUAUGUAUUAUACCAUGUCUGCUUUUUGCACGUAGCUGUGCAGCUAGUAAUGUUCUGCAGGUAAGGUCCUGUUUCAGCUAAGAUCUGUAUCUGAGGAGUCAAAUGCCAUCCUAGAAUCAAGUAUUAAUAGAAUAAACUUAAUUUUAGUUUUUCAUAA